UACGAAGGGUGCAAGCGUUACUCGGAAUUACUGGGAGUAAAGCGUGCGUAGGCGGUUUGUUAAGUCCGUUGUGAAAGCCCUGGGCUCAACCUGGGAAUUGCAGUGGAUACUGGCGAGCUAGAGUGCGGUAGAGGAUGGUGGAAUUCCCGGUGUAGCGGUGAAAUGCGUAGAGAUCGGGAGGAACACCCGUGGCGAAGGCGGCCAUCUGGACCAGCACUGACGCUGAGGCACGAAAGCGUGGGGAGCAAAUGGG
rnacentral:rRNA from 1 species